UACGGAGGGUGCGAGCGUUGUCCGGAAUCACUGGGCGUAAAGGGCGCGUAGGUGGCGCGACAAGUCAACGGUGAAAGCUCGGCGCUCAACGCCGAGUCGGCCGUCGAUACUGUUGGGCUGGAGCACUGUAGAGGCAGAUGGAAUUCCGGGUGUAGCGGUGGAAUGCGUAGAGAUCCGGAAGAACACCGGUGGCGAAGGCGGUCUGCUGGGCAGUAGCUGACACUGAGGCGCGACAGCGUGGGGAGCAACAGG
rnacentral:rRNA from 1 species